rnacentral:rRNA from 1 species
CGGCGCACGGGUGCGUAACGCGUAUGCAAUCUACCUUUCACAGAGGGAUAGCCCAGAGAAAUUUGGAUUAAUACCUCAUAGUAUAGUACCUUGGCAUCAAGGAACUAUUAAAGUCACAACGGUGAAAGAUGAGCAUGCGUCCCAUUAGCUAGUUGGUAAGGUAACGGCUUACCAAGGCAACGAUGGGUAGGGGUCCUGAGAGGGAGAUCCCCCACACUGGUACUGAGACACGGACCAGACUCCUACGGGAGGCAGCAGUGAGGAAUAUUGGACAAUGGGCGCAAGCCUGAUCCAGCCAUGCCGCGUGCAGGAUGACGGUCCUAUGGAUUGUAAACUGCUUUUAUACGAGAAGAAACACUCCGACGUGUCGGAGCUUGACGGUAUCGUAAGAAUAAGGAUCGGCUAACUCCGUGCCAGCAGCCGCGGUAAUACGGAGGAUCCAAGCGUUAUCCGGAAUCAUUGGGUUUAAAGGGUCCGUAGGCGGUCAGAUAAGUCAGUGGUGAAAGCCCAUCGCUCAACGGUGGAACGGCCAUUGAUAC